GACGAACGCUGGCGGCGUGCUUAACACAUGCAAGUCGAACGGUGAAGCCCUUCGGGGUGGCUCAGUGGCGAACGGGUGAGUAACACGUGAGCAACCUGCCCCUGGCUCUGGGACAACCACUGGAAACGGUGGCUAAUACCGGGUACGACCCGCCUCGGCAUCGAGUGUGGGUGGAAAGUUUUUCGGCUGGGGAUGGGCUCGCGGCCUAUCAGCUUGUUGGUGAGGGGAAGGCUCACCAAGGCGACGACGGGUAGCCGGCCUGAGAGGGCGACCGGCCACACGGGCCCUGCGCCCCGCCCCAGACUCCUGCGGGGGGCAGCGGGGGGGAUUCUUGCCCACUGGGCGCACGCCUGACGCAGCGACCCCCCGUGGGGGGUGCCGGCUUUCGGUUUGAACCCCUUUUUCACCCCCGCCGAGGAGAACGUGACGGUAGGAGCAAAGAACGCCCCGCCUCCCCACGUC
rnacentral:rRNA from 1 species